UACCAGCUCUCCGAGUGGUAGGGAUGAUUAUUGGGCUUAAAGCGUCCGUAGCCGGCUUAGCAAGUCUCCUGUUAAAUUCAGCGACCUAAUCGUUGAGCCGCGGGAGAUACUACUAGGCUAGGAGGCGGGAGAGGUCGACGGUACUUCUGGGGUAGGGGUGAAAUCCUAUAAUCCCGGGAGGACCACCAGUGGCGAAGGCUGUCGACUAGAACGCGCUCGACGGUGAGGGACGAAAGCUGGGGGAGCGAACCGGAUUAGAUACCCGGGUAGUCCCAGAUGUAAACGAUGCGGGCUAGGUGUUGGGGUGGCUACGUGCCACUUCAGUGCCGCAGGGAAGCCAUUAAGCCCGCCGCCUGGGGAGUACGGCCGCAAGGCUGAAACUUAAGGAAUUGGCGGGGAGCGCCACAAGGCGUGAAGCUUGCGGUUC
rnacentral:rRNA from 1 species